rnacentral:rRNA from 1 species
UACGUAGGUGGCAAGCGUUGUCCGGAAUCAUUGGGCGUAAAGCGCGUGUAGGCGGUUCGGUAAGUCCGCUGUGAAAGUCGGGGGCUCAACCCUCGAAUGCCGGUGGAUACUGUCGGACUAGAGUACGGAAGAGGCGAGUGGAAUUCCUGGUGUAGCGGUGAAAUGCGCAGAUAUCAGGAGGAACACCAAUUGCGAAGGCAGCUCGCUGGGACGUUACUGACGCUGAGACGCGAAAGCGUGGGGAGCAAACAGG